GAUAGAUUCUUUUUUUAAGAAAAACUUAAAUCGGGUUGAUGCCCAUUUCAUAAACAAAAAACAUAAUAGAGUUUGGUCAGGACCAAAAGUGACCUGACUCGGAUCCACAAAUAGAAAAUAUCUAAUACAACAAUUUCAGACCACUAGAUCAAUUUGGAAAGUGCAAACUUUAUCAUUUGUUGCCUCUUCAUCUUCUCCGACAUCAAGCCAUUUCUAUGGUGCUCUGACCAUCAUCAUCUUUCUCUCCAUCACCUCAAAUGUAGGUUUUAUACUCAAGGAAAUCACUUCUAACACCAGAUUUGAAGAAAGAUAGAAGUUCCUCUACCUUCUGCAAGUUCCAGCCUUUGAGGAAAGGGAGGAAGAGGUCUCGGAAUAGGCUUCAACACAGGAUCCUCAACAUUGUUUUUUUCUGUCCUCUUUACUACUGCUCUCUACAUCAAUUAGAUCAUCAUCCAUUUUAUGCUCAGCUAUAGUGGGGAUAGGUACUAUGCUCAGCUUCUUCUUGAAUCUAAACCAUGCCUCAUACAAGGAUUUUGCAGGAACUGGUUGGUUGACUUCUCCUACAUAAUGAUUGACUCGGGGAUAGCAUUUGGAUUAAAGUGGUGAGCUUCCAUCUUUUCGAAAGGCUCCAUUUCAUGAUAUGGAUACUCUUAGACACUUUGUUUUUUUUUUGCAUAUUGGUUACAGCCAUAGUUAGGGGUAUGUACCAAUCGGAUAUUUUUAUUCUUUUGGAUAGAGGCUUUGUGGUACUUUUAGGGGUUGGUAUAGGCAGGAUCGGUAUUGGUAUCAGCCUUAGCAUUGGCAUUUAUGUUGGGGUUGACAUCAUUAAACGAUAUUAUUAGUUGUUCCAUCGUAUUAUAUUUUAGGAUUAAUUAUUAUAUUAUGUUUUGAUAUUCUCUUUGGUUUGGUAUGGUAUGGAUGGUUGGGUUUGAUAUAGUUAGACUUGAGUCAUUCAUGGUCGUGAUCCUAUCCUAGAGUCUCAACGUGAACAAUAUGCUACCAUGUUAUAUGUUUGAAAUUCAGCUUAUCUAAGGUUGUGAAAGGUAGUUGGUUGGGUUAAGGAGGUGGUCCCCAAUCCUGGUUUGACUUGGGAUGCCCAUUAUGUCUAAGCCCUAUUUUGGGUCAUGACAAGUCGGUAUUAGAGCUUUAUGUUCAUGGUCAACUGAGAGUCCACAAAGUCGUAUCGAGUAGAGUCACUUUUAAGGGUAUGAAGCACGCCACACUCAUAAGAGAGAGGUUACGAGAUAUUUAUGAAUGGUUCACUUUCUUGAAAUUCUUAGUCCUAGAAUCCUCUCUAUUCCUUGGUUAUUUGUCUUUUAGAUCAUGUCUCCUAGAUUUGGAACACAAGAACACUCUUUCAUUCUAUUUAGGGAUAAUGCUGAAGGGAUACCUCCUACGUCUGGAGUACAUCUUCGAUCUCAUGGUCCUAUUUUUUAUUGUAUUGGAGUUCCUCCUAUUUCUCCUAAAACUUCUCAGGUCCCUCAAGGCUACGUGAUGAAUGUGAAGUUUUGUCAGUCUA